CACGUAGUUAGCCGUGGCUUCCUCCUCAGGUACCGUCAUUAUCGUCCCUGAGGACAGAGCUUUACAACCCGAAGGCCUUCAUCACUCACGCGGCGUUGCUGCAUCAGGGUUUCCCCCAUUGUGCAAUAUUCCCCACUGCUGCCUCCCGUAGGAGUCUGGGCCGUGUCUCAGUCCCAAUGUGGCCGAUCACCCUCUCAGGUCGGCUACGCAUCGUCGCCUUGGUGAGCCGUUACCUCACCAACUAGCUAAUGCGCCGCGGGCCCAUCUGAUAGCGGAUUACUCCUUUGGUCAUUUGAAGAUGCCUUCAUUUGACUUUAUGCGGUAUUAAUCUCCCUUUCGGGAGGCUAUCCCCCGUCUAUCAGGCAGGUUGCCCACGUGUUACUCACCCGUCCGCCGCUAGGAAAUUCCCGAAAGAAUUUCCUCGCUCGACUUGCAUGUGUUAAGCACGCCGCCAGCGUCGUCUCGAGUCCACGGAGUCAACUAC
rnacentral:rRNA from 1 species